rnacentral:rRNA from 1 species
CGGAUUGUAGUCUGCAACCCGACUACAUGAAGCCGGAAUCGCUAGUAAUCGCGGAUCAGAAUGCCGCGGUGAAUACGUUCCCGGGUCUUGUACACACCGCCCGUCACACCAUGGGAGUCGGGAAUGCCCGAAGUCAGUGACCCAACCCAAGGGAGGGAGCUGCCGAAGGCAGGCCUGGUGACUGGGGUGAAGUCGUAACAAGGUAUC